CAGCAGCCGCGGGAAUACGAAGGGGGCUAGCGCUGUUCGGAUUUACUGGGCGUAAAGGGUGCGUAGGCGGAUUGUUAAGUCAGGGGUGAAAUCCCGAGGCUCAACCUCGGAACUGCCUUUGAUACUGGCGAUCUUGAGUCCGGGAGAGGUGAGUGGAACUGCGAGUGUAGAGGUGAAAUUCGUAGAUAUUCGCAAGAACACCGGUGGCGAAGGCGGCUCACUGGCCCGGAACUGACGCUGAGGCACGAAAGCGUGGGGAGCAAACAGGAUUAGAUACCCCUGUAGUCCCUGUCUCUUAUAC
rnacentral:rRNA from 1 species